rnacentral:misc_RNA from 1 species
AAGUCGUAACAAGGUUUCCGUAGGUGAACCUGCGGAAGGAUCAUUGACAAAUCUUAAAACAUAUAUGAAUAUUCCUAUGCUUUAUGAGUAUGGAUAUAUUUAUUAUAUAUUUACUCGGAGCCCAGUUUUGGGCUCUGAGGACACAUUUUCUGAGGACAUUUUUUGUCGUUUAGAAUUUGUGGUCCUUGAGUUAUUGAAGUGAAAUAUAUUCAAUGACACAUAAACUCGAUUGUAUUUUGUUUGACAGUGUAAUUUAUUAAAUAGCAAUAUUUGAUAAAGAAUUUUACAACAAAAAUAUAUACAACUUUUAACAAUGGAUCUCUUGGCUCUU